GACGGAUGGGCAUGCGUGACAUUAGCUAGUCGGCGGGGUAACGGCCCACCGAGGCGACGAUGUCUAGGGGUUCUGAGAGGAAGGUCCCCCACACUGGUACUGAGACACGGACCAGACUCCUACGGGAGGCAGCAGUGAGGAAUAUUGGUCAAUGGGCUUACGCCUGAACCAGCCAAGUCGCGUGAGGGAAGACUGCCCUAUGGGUUGUAAACCUCUUUUGUCAGGGAGCAACGCCGGCUACGUGUAGCCGGACUGAGAGUACCUGAAGAAAAAGCAUCGGCUAACUCCGUGCCAGCAGCCGCGGUAAUACGGAGGAUGCGAGCGUUAUCCGGAUUUAUUGGGUUUAAAGGGUGCGUAGGCGGAAUGCCAAGUCAGCGGUAAAAUCGCGGGGCUCAACCUCGCUCCGCCGUUGAAACUGGCGUUCUUGAGUGGGCGAGAAGUAUGCGGAAUGCGUGGUGUAGCGGUGAAAUGCAUAGAUAUCACGCAGAACUCCGAUUGCGAAGGCAGCAUACCGGCGCCCAACUGACGCUGAAGCACGAAAGCGUGGGUAUCGAACAGGAUUAGAUACCCUGGUAGUCCACGCAGUAAACGAUGAAUACUAGCUGUUCGGGGCAAAUGAGCCUUGAGUGGC
rnacentral:rRNA from 1 species